GGGCAUAUGAUGUAGUGGUAUCAUAUUCGCUUUGCAUGCGAAAGGUCCUGGGUUCAAUCCCCAGUGUGUCCA
rnacentral:tRNA from 1 species